rnacentral:tRNA from 1 species
GCCGUCACUCAGUGGUACAGCAUCUGCUCAAUAUGCAGAAGGUCCCCGGUUCAAUCCUGAGCAUCUCCA